rnacentral:misc_RNA from 1 species
UUUCCGUAGGUGAACCUGCGGAAGGAUCAUUAAAGAGAAUAUGCCCUUCGGGGUAGAUCUCCCACCCUUUGUUUAUAUUACCUUUGUUGCUUUGGCAGGCCCGUCUUCGGACCACCGGCUUCGGCUAGUCAGCGCUUGCCAGAGGACCCAAAACUCUUAUUAUUAAUGUCGUCUGAGUACUAUAUAAUAGUUAAAACUUUCAACAACGGAUCUCUUGGUUCUG